rnacentral:misc_RNA from 1 species
GAUGAAGAACGUAGCGAAAUGCGAUAAGUAAUGUGAAUUGCAGAAUUCAGUGAAUCAUCGAAUCUUUGAACGCACAUUGCGCCCGCUAGUAUUCUGGCGGGCAUGCCUGUCCGAGCGUCAUUUCAACCCUCAAGCCCCCGGGCUUGGUGUUGGGGAUCGGCGAGCCUCCGCGCCCGCCGGCGACCCCCCUCAAUCUUUCCAGGUUGACCUCGGAUCAGGUAGGGAUACCCGCUGAACUUAAGCAUAUCAAUAAGCGGAGGA